rnacentral:rRNA from 1 species
UACAGAGGUGGCAAGCGUUGUUCGGAAUUACUGGGCGUAAAGGGCGCGUAGGCGGUCCGAUAAGUCCCGUGUGAAAUCCCUCGGCUCAACUGAGGAAUGGCACGGGAAACUGACGGGCUUGAGUUCGGGAGAGGGAAGCGGAAUUCCUGGUGUAGCGGUGAAAUGCGCAGAUAUCAGGAGGAACACCAGUGGCGAAGGCGGCACUCUGGGCCGGUACUGACGCUGAGGAGCGAAAGCGUGGGGAGCGAACAGG